rnacentral:rRNA from 1 species
ACCCGCACAAGCGGUGGAUGAUGUGGUUUAAUUCGAUGCAACGCGAAAACCUUACCCACCUUUGACAUGUACGGAACCCUUUAGAGAUAGAGGGUGCUCGAAAGAGAGCCGUAACACAGGUGCUGCAUGGCUGUCGUCAGCUCGUGUCGUGAGAUGUUGGGUUAAGUCCCGCAACGAGCGCAACCCUUGUCAUUAGUUGCUACAUUCAGUUGGGCACUCUAAUGAGACUGCCGGUGACAAGCCGGAGGAAGGUGGGGAUGACGUCAAGUCCUCAUGGCCCUUAUAGGUGGGCUACACACGUCAUACAAUGGCUGGUACAAAGGGUUGCCAACCCGCGGAGGGGGAGCCAAUCCCAAUAAAGCCAGUCGUAGUCCGGAUCGUAGUCUGCAACUCGACUACGUGAAGUCGGAAUCGCUAGUAAUCGUGGAUCAGAAUGUCACGGUGAAUACGUUCCCGGGUCUU